rnacentral:rRNA from 1 species
AGUGAACGCUGGCGGUAGGCCUAACACAUGCAAGUCGAACGGCAGCACCGUCAGAGCUUGCUCUUACGUGUGGCGAGUGGCGGACGGGUGAGGAUUACAUCGGAAUCUACUUUUUCGUGGGGGAUAACGUAGGGAAACUUACGCUAAUACCGCAUACGACCCACGGGUGAACGCAGGGGAUCUUCGGACCUUGCGCUCUUGAAUGAGCUGAUGUCGCAUUUGCUAGUUGGCGGGGUACAGCCCCACCAAGGCGACGAUCCCUAGCUGGUCUGAUAGGGUGAUCAGGCACCCUGGCACUGACAAACGGCCCAGACUCCGAGGAAAGGCACCCGGGGGGAAUCUUGGAAAAUGGGCGCAAGCCUGAUCCAGCCAUACAGGGUGGGUGAAGAAAGCCUUCGGGUGGGAAAGCCGAUUUGGUGAGAAAGAAAAGCGGCAAGUUAAAACCUCGCUGUUCUGACGGUACCCAAUGAAUAAGCACCGGCUAACUUCGUG